UUACCCGGUAGACGUGGCAGGGGGAGGGUGUAUGUGUCGCUGCUCUGUGGCCUUCAGUGCAAUAGUUAUCACACACACACGCACAUACACACGCACACACGCACAUACAUCAAGUGCCGCCUCGCUACGUGUGAGAAAUAGUGCGUGUGCGUGUGAGUGUGUGUGUGUGUGUGUGUGUGUGUGUGUUUUCCUUCUUUCCUUUCUAAUUCCGCCCCCUCUCUCUCUCUCUCUCUCUCUCUCUCUCUCUCUCUCUCUCUCUCUCUCUCUCUCUCUCUCUCUCUCUCUCUCUCUCUCUCUCUCUCUCUCUCUCUCUCUCUCUCUCUCUCUCUCUCUCUCUCUCUCAAUAUGAAACCAAGAUCGCAUAGACUGAGUGACCUUAUAUCAUGGGUGUGUGUGCCCGUGACCUUGUUCCUCUACCUGCACCUCGUCCUCACGCCCUCAGACCCCCUUACCACCACCACCACCACCACCACUACGAGUCAAGUCCCGCCCCCUCUUAAUCUGACCUCUCUCGCGCGCCCUGACCUCCUGCUGGUGACCCCGAUCCUGCGCAGCGCCUCCACCACUCUCAUGCACCUCCUGAGGCUCCUUGCACCCCACAGAGGCUUCAGCUUCACGCCUAGACAGAGAAGAAGGGCAGAAUUUGUGCAUAUACCAGAUCCAAAAAUACAGGAAGAAAUUGUGAAGAACCUCUCUAUGACGCCCACACCUGCAGCAUAUAUGGAAUCCUUCGCUUUAAUUAACUUCACCAGGUACGGCCACACCCCCCGGUACGUGUGUCAGUGGUACGAGACCCAGUUGAGAGAGCCAUCAGUCGCUUCUACCACGCUCGCGCGCCGUUUGUCUUGGUGGAGAGGCAGCAGCUGUACCCCGGCGCCCGUCUGCCCUCCAGGAACUAUCUGAAGAAGGACCUUGAAACGUGCUUGGCGAAUCCACGAGACAUAGAAUGCAAGUAUGUAGCGGGCAGCAAGACCCUGGGGCACACCACUGAGUUCUUUUGCGGCCACCACGAUUACUGCCCAGUCUUCGGUGACAGAGAGGGGCUGGCGGCGGCGAAGGAGGGCGUGGAGAGGGGCUGGGCUGUGGUGGGGGUGCUGGAGGAGUGGAGCAAGACCCUGGAAGUCCUUGAAAAUUAUGUACCAAGAUUCUUCAGUGGAGCAAAACAGCUUUAUUAUGGGCACAUCCAUCGUAACAAGACCUUAAGGAAUGAAAAUUUCUACAGACCUAACGUGGAGGAGGCGGCGAAGGAGGCGCUGAAGAAGGUGUUUGAAGUAGAAUAUGAGUUUUAUCAGUUUGUGAAGCAGCGACUUGAUAAACAAUACCACGCCCUUGCCAAUGUGGGGGUGUAAAGUGCGGGCAAGGCGUGGGCAAGGCGUGUGUGGUAUAAAUUUUUCACCUCUAUGCUGUCCACCUUCGUAAUGCAAGAGUUAACCAGUAUUCUCAGUCUUUCACCACUAUUCUGUCCACCUCCCUAAUGCAAGAGUUAACCAGUAUUCUCAGUCUUUCACCACUAUUCUGUCCACCUCCCCUAAUGCAAGAGUUAACCAGUAUUCUCAGUCUUUCACCACUAUUCUGUCCACCUCCCUAAUGCAAGAGUUAACCAGUAUUCUCAGUCUUUCACCACUAUUCUGUCCACCUCCCUAAUGCAAGAGUGUGUAUGUGUGUGUGUGUGUGUGUGUGUGUGGUUAACUUAAUGGUGUCAAGUUGUGUAAAUAUUUGUAUUGUGCAUUAAAAUUAGCUUUUUUUCAA